GGUGGAAUGGAAGAUAAUCUUCCAAGCAUAUACUCUCUUUUCCCUCUCUGGUCAAAGUCUCACUCAUAGCGAUUGGCUUUCCUCUCUUGUCCGGUCAUCAAUUAAAUAUUACGCAGUCAUCUCUUCUUCUCUUCUCCUCUAUAAUGUUGCCCAGAAACCCCGCUCCCUCUCCUUCCAGAAUUCAUGGUAGCGUUUCUGAGAAAUUAGGAUCAUAGGUGAGUUCCGGCCACGUCUCCCUUGUCGCCGGUGAAGAUUCACCGAUCGUGAUUGUCUGGUUUUAUAAACGAACUCUGCCCUUUGCGGCUUUCUUCUUUCUUUUCGUAUUUGAUAUUUCUAUGACUUCUAAACACAGUUUGGGCACUUAAAUUUCUGAGCCCCUGUUUGGGUAUUUUUCCUAAUUUCAAUUGUCGAAUCAGGUUCCAGUGGAAUAAUAGUUUAGGUACAAAACAAAAAACUUAAGGAUAAGUUGUUGGACUA